UCCUGUGUGGCUCAGUUGGUAGAGCAUGGUGUUUGCAACGCUAGGGUUGCGGGUUCGAUUCCCACGGGGG
rnacentral:tRNA from 1 species